GAUGAACGCUGGCGGCGUGCCUAACACAUGCAGGUCGAACGGACUUACAUUGAAGCCUAGCGAUAUGUAAGUUAGUGGCGGACGGGUGAGUAACGCGUGGGUAACCUGCCUUGUACUGGGGGACAACAGUUGGAAACGACUGCUAAUACCGCAUAAGCGCACAGCUUCGCAUGAAGCAGUGUGAAAAACUCCGGUGGUGUGAGAUGGACCCGCGUCUGAUUAGCUAGUUGGCAGGGCAACGGCCUACCAAGGCGACGAUCAGUAGCCGACCUGAGAGGGUGACCGGCCACAUUGGGACUGAGACACGGCCCAAACUCCUACGGGAGGCAGCAGUGGGGAAUAUUGCACAAUGGGGGGAAACCCUGAUGCAGCGACGCCGCGUGAGCGAAGAAGUAUUUCGGUAUGUAAAGCUCUAUCAGCAGGGAAGAAAAAAGUGACGGUACCUGACUAAGAAGCACCGGCUAAAUACGUAG
rnacentral:rRNA from 1 species